CCAAAAUGGUAGGGAAUAUUGAACCAAGUUGAGGUCUAUAAAAUGGAAAAAUAUGUGAUGAGGAGCAAAACAUUUUGAGGAGAGAAAAAAGAAAGAAAAGGAUCAGCGAUGGGGAGGAAAUCAGUUGUUGGGUUAUGUUUGUUGAUUCUUCUCAUAGCUUCUGAAGAAAUGGUGGUGGUGGAGGGUGAAAAAUGUGAGAGAGCAAGUGUUUUGUUCCCAGAAGGAUGCAUUGAGCCAAUUGGGAGCCAACAGUGUGACUAUCUAUGCAAGAUAGGAGAAGGUUUGCUUGGUGGCACCUGCAAUCAAGAUCAGAUUUGCUAUUGUGCCUGUUGAACCAUUGCUCAAUUCUAUUUUUGCUUUAUUAAUUCUUAAUUUGUAAUUUUGGACCUAUAUAUAUAUUUUUAAUCACGUAA